rnacentral:rRNA from 1 species
CACGUGAGUAACCUGCCCCAGACUCUGGGCUUCAUCGGGAAACCGGUGCUAAUACCGGAUAUGAGACGAGAUUGCAUGAUCAUCGUCUGGAAAGAUUUAUCGGUCUGGGAUGGACUCGCGGCCUAUCAGCUAGUUGGUGAGGUAAUGGCUCACCAAGGCGACGACGGGUAGCCGGCCUGAGAGGGCGACCGGCCACACUGGAACUGAGACACGGUCCAGACUCCUACGGGAGGCAGCAGUGGGGAAUAUUGCACAAUGGGCGCAAGCCUGAUGCAGCAACGCCGCGUGGGGGAUGAAGGCCUUCGGGUUGUAAACCCCUUUUAGCAGGGAAGAAGCGAAAGUGACGGUACCUGCAGAAAAAGCGCCGGCUAACUACGUGCCAGCAGCCGCGGUAAUACGUAGGGCGCAAGCGUUGUCCGGAAUUAUUGGGCGUAAAGAGCUCGUAGGCGGUUUGUCGCGUCUGCUGUGAAAGUCCGAGGCUCAACCUCGGAUCUGCAGUGGGUACGGGCAGACUAGAGUGUGGUAGGGGAGACUGGAAUUCCUGGUGUAGCGGUGGAAUGCGCAGAUAUCAGGAGGAACACCAAUGGCGAAGGCAGGUCUCUGGGCCAUAACUGACGCUGAGGAGCGAAAGCGUGGGGAGCGAACAGGA